rnacentral:tRNA from 1 species
UGACCGCCGGAGAGGUGCUCGGCGCGCUGCAGCGCGUGCGGCAGCAUGUUGAGCCACUGCAAUAGCUCGAUGGCGCGAGCGCGGUCAGC